AUCAACACAAACCGGAACCUCCACCACGUGCUCGACUGAGGGGUGUUGAUGUCGGGGGAAACCCUCCCGUGAACCAACGGGAUAGAGCGAAAGACAAAGACCGGAAACAAACUAAAGCGCCCUUGCGGCGCUUUAGUUUU
rfam:Citrobacter koseri ATCC BAA-895, complete genome.